ACUUGUUGCCUUCUCUUGGAUGUCUAAGAGAUAUUUCAACCUGUACAUAGUUCAGAUGAAAUUCUUUAUUCAUUCUCUACCCUAAAUAUCCUCUCUUCCGUCAGUCUUCUCAGUAAAGAGUAUCGACAUUUAGAAGUUAGAGGACUUCGUUGACUAAGCCAUUGUAAAGGUGCAACAAUAUGAAUAUAUUUGUAACACUCAAUAGUUGUUCAAUACCUAUUUAUAGAAUGAUUGAAUGAAUUAUUCCCAUUUUACGGAUGUUAAAAUGGAAGCUUAGGGAGAUCAAAUAAAUUGCUGGAUUUGAAUCUAGCCUGAGUCUAGUCCCACAGGAAAAAAGUUUGUUCAAUAUUAUAGAGUUGGUUUUUCAGUAAAUGCUGUUGUUAACAUGUUUAUCAAAAGGUCAUUGAAAGAAAGUAAUAUAAGCUAUAGUUGAAAUAGGACUUUGGGAAUUAUUGUGGAGGACUUUGAAUGCUAGUUUAAGGAUUUGGAACUGUAUUUUGCAUAAAGAGGGAGCAAUUAUAGGUUUUAAUUGAGAGUAUUAGUCAGGGUUCUCCGGAGAAACAGAACCAACAGGAUAUAUGUAUAUAUAGAGAGAUUUAUUUUAAGAAAUUGGCUCAUAGGCUUGUGGAGACUGGCAAGUCUGAAUUUUGCAGAGCGGGCCAGUAUACUGGAGUCCCAGAGAAGUCUUGAUGUUGUAGCUUGAGCCUAAAGGAGGCCUGGAGUUAGAAGUCUAAGAUCAAGGUGUCAGCUGGGUUGGUUUCUCCUGAGGUCUCUCUCUUUGACUUGUAGAUGGCCAUCUUAUGCCUGUGCCCUCAUGUGGUUGCCCUGCUAUUUGUGUCUGUGUCUAAAUUUCCUUAGGGACGCCAGUCAGAUUGGAUUAGGAUCCACUCAUGUGACCUCAGUUUAACUCAAUAACUUCUGUAAAGACCCUGUGACCCAAAUACAGUCACAGUCCGAGGUGCUGGUGGUUAGGACUUCAACAUAUAAAGUUGAGGGGGAUAGAACUUAGCCCAUAACAAACAUAGCUCAGCCCAUAACGAGUGUCAUCUAUCUGACAGUGAUCUGUCAAGUUAAUCAGAGAGGGGAAAACUAGAGCCACUGAGAAGAUUUUUUAUCAGCUUAUAUUGUAAGAAUAAAGAGGAAAGGGAUUACUUGAGAGUAAACGCACAACUUCCAAAUCUCAGAUUGGCUGUGGAAAGAAAAGACGAGCAGAAAGUACGUUAGGGCAGAAUGGUUGGCCAACUGGGAAAUUGUGGGCCACCCACAGGAAAGGAAACAGGAGGAGAAUUGGUGCUUAGGUAGAAUGAGGACUGGUUUUUAGACAGGCAACGUUUGCAGUUCUGAAUGAUGGAAAACUCUAGAGACUUCCAACUGGCAGGUGGAGCUGGACUUUGAGACAGGUCAGAGUUGGAGAGGGAGUCUGGAGCCAUUGGGAUUUGGGUAAUAGCUGAAGAUGCUGCAUGACUCAGGGAAAGAGCAUAAAGAGAAAGAGGAAAAGGCUAAGAAAGGUCUCUGGGGAAGAGCAAGAAGGGCCAGAGGCUGAUGUACAGAGGAAGGACGAAUCACAGUCAUAAGUGCACAUUGGUGCCAAGGCACAGACUUACGGUCCAAGUGGAGAAGCUGUUGGCACCCGCCCAACUGACAAUCGGAAAGAGUGGUGACGAAACGGCACACUGGUUGUUUGGUUGAAAACACUUUUGAUUUCUAACUCCCACUGGGAAAUUGUACAAAGUGACCCCAGAAAGCCUGAAGCUGUUCCAGACAAGGCAUGGACAUUCCUUGGGCAGAGGAUACUGCUCUUCUAUCCUCCCUGCUGUUGCUGGUGAGUGGAAGGCAGGGUUUGAUCAGCACUGAAAGAGAUCAUGCUCUAGGAAUGCACCCAGCCUGGCGGCCAGCAGAGAUUGACAGAAGACACAGCUGGAAGAUGUGUUGUUCUAUGUUUAUGCUAUAAAAAUUACAAGCAAUACAUUUAACAUGACCAGAAAAAGAAUUUUAACUCAGAUUUUCCUACAGGUAAGACUUGCAUUUGUGGUCAUCAUAACAGAGUAUGAUAAUAACCUGGGCGAGAGACACUGCACACCAGGAAUCACAGGUGACACAGUGGGUGAUGCAGUAUCAGGAGUGGUGACAUGCCCAGAAUUAAAUACUUGGCACCAGGGAACUGCAGGAGCAGGAGGGGCGAUACUGCCCUAACAGAAACUGGGCCCAAGGAGCUGUGGCAUUGUGUGUAAUAAUAGCAUUGGUACUUCUUUCUUGUGAUUGGCACAUUCAACAGGAAUGGCACAUCUAACAAUAAAGAACCUGGCAAUUAAGAGAUGGUUAUUAGACUUGUGCAAGAAGAAAUGGUGGCUGGACACUAUGAAGAAUCGUUAUAUAUACUAAUUGGACAGUGAACAACUAGUCAACAGACAAACAAAUAAAAAUCAGAACGGUAACAAGGAAUUGGCUCUUCUCGGAAUUGAAAGGGAGCUGGGAGCAAGACGGAUGAUCUGCAGGGACUCCCGCCGCAAAUUAUAGCAGAAUGCCUGCAAUUAAUUAGAGGAAGAAACUGUAUGUUUGUAACAGUAGCAUAGAAAGAAGCAUCUCGUGCUAUUCUCGCUCAGUAGUCCACGUGGACAGUGUGAUAGAAUUCUUUAAUGUAGUCUUGGUCAUGAACUUUCUCCCCUGUAUAAGAAUGCUUCCAAGUCCUUCUACCAAAAUAAAGAAAAAUCUUCACACUUGUACAAUUCUUGCUAUUAACUUUUCCCUGAUGGCAAGAGUCAGGGCAGUGGAGUUCUGAUUUAUG